GAAUAUUGGACAAUGGGCGAAAGCCUGAUCCAGCAAUGCCGCGUGUGUGAAGAAGGCCUUCGGGUUGUAAAGCACUUUAGGCUGGGAAGAAAAAGUUUCACCUAAUACGUGAAGCCUUGACGGUACCAGCGGAAUAAGCACCGGCUAACUCUGUGCCAGCAGCCGCGGUAAUACAGAGGGUGCUAGCGUUAAUCGGAUUUACUGGGCGUAAAGCGUGUGUAGGCGGUUCGUUAAGUCGGAUGUGAAAGCCCUGGGCUCAACCUAGGAAUUGCAUUCGAUACUGGCGAGCUAGAGUACGGUAGAGGGCGGCGGAAUUCCGGGUGUAGCGGUGAAAUGCGUAGAUAUCCGGAGGAACACCGAUGGCGAAGGCAACCGCCUGGGCCUGUACUGACGCUGAGACACGAAAGCGUGGGGAGCAAACAG
rnacentral:rRNA from 1 species